CCAGUGCUCCUUUGCUUUGAUGAAGCAAGGUCUUUCGUGCCCCAAGUAAAGAUGGCGCUACACGACUAUCUCACUUCUUUCGGCUCGAGACUCGUGCGCAAGGGACCACAGACUUCGGUUUCUCCUCCCUCUGACCCUUUUUCCUUCCUAGAAAACGGAGGGUUUGGCCUAAGUGGCUAGAAUUCAACGGUCUAGGGUAGAAGAGAAUUUAUCCAAAGAUUAAAACUUGAAGCAACCCUAAAUGUGCACGAUGGCUGUGUCAACACGAUCUGUUGGAAUGACACAGGGGAGUACAUCUUAUCCGGCUCGGAUGACACCAAGUUAGUGAUUAGUGACCCAAACAG